GACAUUGCAUCUGACUAUUUUGAAGAUUUGUUGUUGAGGUCAUUCUUUCAAAAAUCCAAAACCAUUCUGUCAAAGUUUGUCAUGCAUGACUUGAUUCAUGACCUGGCACAAUCGGUGGCUGGAGAAAUGUGCUUCAGAUUGGAGCAUGAGAAACUUCAGAACAUCCCAGAGAUGGUUCGGCAUUCAUCUGUGCUAGUUGACGCAUUUAAGUCAGUCACAUUUGAGGCCUUGUACA
rnacentral:misc_RNA from 1 species